rnacentral:rRNA from 1 species
UGAAGCUUGCUUCAUGAUUCAGACCUUGGUGAGUGGCGGACGGGUGAGUAACACGUGGGUAACCUGCCCAGAAGUGGGGGAUAACAUUUGGAAACAAGUGCUAAUACCGCAUAACAACAUUUAUCUCAUGAUUUUUGUUUAAAAGAUGGUUCUGCUAUCUCUUCUGGAUGGACCCGCGGCGUAUUAGCUAGUUGGUGAGGUAAUAGCUCACCAAGGCGAUGAUACGUAGCCGACCUGAGAGGGUAAUCGGCCACAUUGGGACUGAGACACGGCCCAAACUCCUACGGGAGGCAGCAGUAGGGAAUCUUCCACAAUGGACGAAAGUCUGAUGGAGCAACGCCGCGUGAGUGAAGAAGGUUUUCGGAUCGUAAAACUCUGUUGUUGAAGAAGAACAUAUGUGAGAGUAACUGUUCACGUACUGACGGUAUUCAACCAGAAAGCCACGGCUAACUACGUGCCAGCAGCCGCGGUAAUACGUAGGUGGCAAGCGUUGUCCGGAUUUAUUGGGCGUAAAGAGA